UGGAUCCCUAUUGUUUUUGUAAGGAUUUUUCUUAUUAGGGGUCCAAGCCAACAGGUUGGAUCCCUAUUGUUUUUGUAAGGAUUUUUAUACUACCUCCCCGUGAAAGUGGAACCACAGCCCAAACCGUAAAUGGUGCACACGCGCCAAUUGCAUGACUAGAUCCAGAAUCGGCACCGCUACUCAGAUAACAAAAUCCAGACACGCCGGUCCCUAGGUGGCGCUAUACCAAGGAAUACGCGUUUGGGGCUAUAACUCCCACACCGAACCUCCCACAGUCAAAAACUUGUACGCACAUAUUCACUGGAGUCUGCUGCAUCUUUUG
ensembl:lncRNA